rnacentral:rRNA from 1 species
AACGAACGCUGGCGGCAUGCCUAACACAUGCAAGUCGAACGAGACCUCCGGGCCUAGUGGCGCAUGGGUUCGUAACGCGUGGGAUCCUGCCCUUAGGUUCGGAAUAACUCUCCGAAAGGGGUGCUAAUACCGGAUAAUGUCUCCGGACCAAAGAUUUAUCGCCUUUGGUUGGGCCCGAGUUGGAUUAGCUGGUUGGUAGGGUUAAAGCUUACCAAGGCGACGAUCCAUAGCUGGUCUGAGAGGAUGAUCAGCCACACUGGGACUGAGACACGGCCCAGACUCCUGCGAGAGGCAGCAGUGGGGAAUAUAGGACAGUGGGCGAAAGCCUGAUCCAGCGAUGCCGCGUGAGUGAUGAAGGCCUUAGAGUUGUAAAGCUCUUUUACCCAGGCUGAUAAUGACGGUACCUGGAGAAUAAGCUCCGGCUAACUCCGUG